CGAACGGUAGACAUCUUUCGGGAUGUUGAGAGUGGCGCACGGGUGCGUAACACGUAUGCAACCUACCUUUUACAGGGGGAUAGCCCGGAGAAAUUCGGAUUAAUACCCCAUGGCACUAUUGAAUGGCAUCAUGAGAUAGUUAAAGAUUUAUCGGUAAGAGAUGGGCAUGCGUCUGAUUAGCUAGUUGGCGGUGUAACGGACCACCAAGGCGACGAUCAGUAGGGGUUCUGAGAGGAAGGUCCCCCACACUGGCACUGAGAUACGGGCCAGACUCCUACGGGAGGCAGCAGUAGGGAAUAUUGGGCAAUGGGCGAGAGCCUGACCCAGCCAUGCCGCGUGCAGGAAGACGGCCUAUUGGGUUGUAAACUGCUUUUAUCUGGGAAGAAAAGGCCCAUGCGUGGGACAUUGCCGGUACCAGAUGAAUAAGCACCGGCUAACUCCGUGCCAGCAGCCGCGGUAAUACGGAGGGUGCAAGCGUUGUCCGGAUUUAUUGGGUUUAAAGGGUGCGUAGGCGGCUGAUUAAGUCAGCGGUGAAAGACUCCGGCUUAACCGGGGCAGUGCCGUUGAUACUGGUCAGCUUGAGUGCUGCAGGGGUACAUGGAAUUGAUGGUGUAGCGGUGAAAUGCAUAGAUACCAU
rnacentral:rRNA from 1 species